GAUGAACGCUGGCGGCGUGCCUAAUACAUGCAAGUCGAGCGAACAGACGAGGAGCUUGCUCCUCUGACGUUAGCGGCGGACGGGUGAGUAACACGUGGAUAACCUACCUAUAAGACUGGGAUAACUUCGGGAAACCGGAGCUAAUACCGGAUAAUAUAUUGAACCGCAUGGUUCAAUAGUGAAAGACGGUUUUGCUGUCACUUAUAGAUGGAUCCGCGCCGCAUUAGCUAGUUGGUAAGGUAACGGCUUACCAAGGCAACGAUGCGUAGCCGACCUGAGAGGGUGAUCGGCCACACUGGAACUGAGACACGGUCCAGACUCCUACGGGAGGCAGCAGUAGGGAAUCUUCCGCAAUGAGCGAAAGCUUGACGGAGCAACGCCGCGUGAGUGAUGAAGGUCUUCGGAUCGUAAAACUCUGUUAUUAGGGAAGAACAAAUGUGUAAGUAACUAUGCACGUCUUGACGGUACCUAAUCAGAAAGCCACGGCUAACUACGUG
rnacentral:rRNA from 1 species